AGAGUUUGAUUAUGGCUCAGGAUGAACGCUGGCGGCGUGCUUAACACAUGCAAGUCGAACGGAGUUUUAAACGGAAGUUUUCGGAUGGAAGUUUAGAAACUUAGUGGCGGACGGGUGAGUAACGCGUGGGUAACCUGCCUCAUACAGGGGGAUAACAGUUAGAAAUGACUGCUAACACCGCAUAACAUAGCGAAACCGCAUGAUUUUUGCUAUCAAAUAUUUAUAGGUAUGAGAUGGGCCCGCGUCUGAUUAGCUAGUUGGUGGGGUAAAAGCCUACCAAGGCGACGAUCAGUAGCCGGCUUGAGAGAGUGACCGGCCACAUUGGGACUGAGACACGGCCCAAACUCCUACGGGAGGCAGCAGUGGGGAAUAUUGGACAAUGGGGGAAACCCUGAUCCAGCGAACCGCCGCGUGAGUGAAGAAGUAUUUCGGUAUGUAAAGCUCUAUCAGCAGGGAAGAUAAUGACAGUACCUGACUAAGAAGCCCCGGCUAACUACGUGCCAGCAGCCGC
rnacentral:rRNA from 1 species